UGAUCCUAAGGCGAGGCCGAAAGGCGUAGUCGAUGGAAAGCAGGUUAACAUUCCUGCACCGAUGGUUACUGCGAUGGGAUGACGGAGAAGGCUAGCUCAGCGGCAGCAGUGCCGUUCAAGGCCGUAGGGGUUCUCUCCUGGAAAAUCCGGAGAGAAGCUAUCCCCGAGAACCGAGUACGAGGAGGCUUCGGCCUUCGAAGUGAGUGAUGCCACGCUUCCGGGAAAAGUCUCUAAGCUUCAGGUAAUCGUUGUCCGUACCGUAAACCGACACUGGUGGUGAGCAGAUAAUCUGCUAAGGCGCUUGAGAGAACUCGGGUUAAGGAACUCUGCAAAUUGAUACCGUAACUUCGGGAGAAGGUAUGCCUCCCGGUGUGAGGGGAUUUACUCCCUGAGCACUGAGAGGUCACAGGUAAUCGGGGGCUGCGACUGUUUAUCAAAAACACAGGACUCUGCGAACACGAAAGUGGAUGUAUAGGGUCUGACGCCUGCCCGGUGCCGGAAGGUUAAUUGAUGGGGUCAGCCGCAAGGCGAAGCUCCUGAUCGAAGCCCCGGUAAACGGCGGCCGUAACGAUAACGGUCCUAAGGUAGCGAAAUUCCUUGUCGGGUAAGUUCCGACCUGCACGAAUGGCGUAACGCUGGCCCCACUGUCUCGACCCGAGACUCAGUGAAGUUGAAAUCGCUGUGAAGAUGCGGCGUAGCUGCGGAAAGACGGAAAGACCCCGUGAACCUUUACUACAGCUUUACACUGAACUUUGACCUUGUCUGUGUAGGAUAGGUGGGAGCCUUUGAAGCCGGGGCGCUAGCUCUGGUGGAGGCAACGUUGAAAUACCACCCUGAUAAUGUCGGAGUUCUAACCUUGGCCCGUAAUCCGGGCUGGGAACACUGUAUGGUGGGUAGUUUGACUGGGGCGGUCUCCUCCUAAAGAGUAACGGAGGAGUGCAAUGAUACCCUCAGCGCGGUCGGUCAUCGCGCAAUGAGUGCAAUGGCAUAAGGGUGUUUGACUGCGAGACUGACAAGUCGAGCAGGUGCGAAAGCAGGUCAUAGUGAUCCGGUGGUUCUGUAUGGAAGGGCCAUCGCUCAACGGAUAAAAGGUACUCCGGGGAUAACAGGCUUAUUCCUCCCAAGAGUCCACAUCGACGGAGGAGUUUGGCACCUCGAUGUCGGCUCAUCACAUCCUGGGGCUGUAGCAGGUCCCAAGGGUUCGGCUGUUCGCUGAUUAAAGUGGUACGCGAGCUGGGUUCAAAACGUCGUGAGACAGUUUGGUCCCUAUCUUCCGUAGCCGUUGGAGAUUUGAGGGUGAGCUGUCCUUAGUACGAGAGGACCGGGAUGGACGCACCUCUGGUGUUCCGGUUGUCACGCCAGUGGCACUGCCGGGUAGCUAUGUGCGGACGGGAUAACCGCUGAAAGCAUCUAAGCGGGAAGCCCCCCCCAAGAUUAGAUCUCCCUGGGAACUCGAUUCCCCUGAAGGGCCCAAGUAGACGACUUGGUUGAUAGGCUGGGUGUGUAAGGUCAGUAAUGACUUCAGCUAACCAGUACUAAUUGCCCGUGAGGCUUGACC
rnacentral:rRNA from 1 species